GUCAUACUCUCUCCGUCCGAUAAAAAAUGUCUCAAUUUUGACUAAAUUUGAAUGCUUCUAUACACUAAGUCAUGUAUAAAUGCAUCCAAAUUUUGAUAAACUUGAGACAUCUUUUGUUGGACGGAGGAAGUAUGAA
rfam:Brachypodium distachyon strain Bd21 chromosome 3, whole genome shotgun sequence.